AUUGAACGCUGGCGGCAUGCCUUACACAUGCAAGUCGAACGGCAGCAUGAUCUAGCUUGCUAGAUUGAUGGCGAGUGGCGAACGGGUGAGUAAUACAUCGGAACGUGCCCUGUAGUGGGGGAUAACUAGUCGAAAGAUUAGCUAAUACCGCAUACGACCUGAGGGUGAAAGUGGGGGACCGCAAGGCCUCAUGCUAUAGGAGCGGCCGAUGUCUGAUUAGCUAGUUGGUGAGGUAAAGGCUCACCAAGGCGACGAUCAGUAGCUGGUCUGAGAGGACGAUCAGCCACACUGGGACUGAGACACGGCCCAGACUCCUACGGGAGGCAGCAGUGGGGAAUUUUGGACAAUGGGCGAAAGCCUGAUCCAGCAAUGCCGCGUGUGUGAAGAAGGCCUUCGGGUUGUAAAGCACUUUUGUCCGGAAAGAAAUGGUUCUGGUUAAUACCUGGGGUCGAUGACGGUACCGGAAGAAUAAGGACCGGCUAACUACGUG
rnacentral:rRNA from 1 species